CCAAGAGAGCAGGGGGCGACAGGGGUUCUCCAAAACCCUAGAUUUCACAACUAAAAUCUGCAAAUUGAAGCCUCAAUCUCGUUCCAAAUCAAGUUCUAAACACGAAUUAGCAAACCCCUUGUUGUAAGGAUCAAAGAGGCAAAGAGUCCGGUUCAUCUAGCGGACAAGCCGAGGGGAAAUCACGAGGAAAAGGCGCGCUCUAAAGUUUUUCAGGUACUCAAGUGAAGGAUGAUGAUCAAGCAGUUGAUUUGGACCGAACACCUAACUUUACGCUUCCGCACUUGAACCUCGUUUUGUUAUUUUGUAAACUCUAGUAGUUUAUCUUGGAACAUUGUUGUAGUUUAAACAUGUAAAUGUUUUAUCAAAUGGGUUAGGAAUCUUGAAAGUUUUUGUAAGAACUACUUUUUGUGUAUUAUGUAAAGCUUAAUUGCUAGUUAAAAUGGGUAUUUUAA